UGGGGAAUAUUGGACAAUGGGCGCAAGCCUUAUCCAGCCAUGCCUCGUGAGUGAUGAAGGCCCUAGGGUUGUAAAGCUCUUUCACCGGUGAACAUAAUGACGGUAACCGGAGAAGAAGCCCCGGCUAACUUCGUGCCAGCAGCCGCGGUAAUACGAAGGGGGCUAGCGUUGUUCGGAUUUACUGGGCGUAAAGCGCACGUAGGCGGACUUUUAAGUCAGGGGUGAAAUCCCGGGGCUCAACCCCGGAACUGCCUUUGAUACUGGAAGUCUUGAGUAUGGUAGAGGUGAGUGGAAUUCCGAGUGUAGAGGUGAAAUUCGUAGAUAUUCGGAGGAACACCAGUGGCGAAGGCGGCUCACUGGACCAUUACUGACGCUGAGGUGCGAAAGCGUGGGGAGCAAACAGG
rnacentral:rRNA from 1 species